rnacentral:rRNA from 1 species
CCAGACUCCUACGGGAGGCAGCAGUGAGGAAUAUUGGACAAUGGUCGGAAGACUGAUCCAGCCAUGCCGCGUGCAGGAUGAAGGUCCUAUGGAUUGUAAACUGCUUUUGUAAGGGAAGAAUAAGGAGUACGUGUACUUUGAUGACGGUACCUUACGAAUAAGCAUCGGCUAACUCCGUGCCAGCAGCCGCGGUAAUACGGAGGAUGCGAGCGUUAUCCGGAAUCAUUGGGUUUAAAGGGUCCGUAGGCGGGCUGAUAAGUCAGAGGUGAAAGCGCUUAGCUCAACUAAGCAACUGCCUUUGAAACUGUCAGUCUUGAAUGAUUGUGAAGUAGUUGGAAUGUGUAGUGUAGCGGUGAAAUGCUUAGAUAUUACACAGAACACCGAUAGCGAAGGCAUAUUACUAACAAUUUAUUGACGCUGAUGGACGAAAGCGUGGGGAGCGAACAGGAUUAGAUACCCUGGUAGUCCACGCUGUAAACGAUGGAUACUAGCUGUUUGGAGCAAUCUGAGUGGCUAAGCGAAAGUGAUAAGUAUCCCACCUGGGGAGUACGCACGCAAGUGUGAAACUCAAAGGAAUUGACGGGGGCCCGCACAAG